GACGUAGGGCGCGAGCGUUGUCCGGAUUUAUUGGGCGUAAAGAGCUCGUAGGCGGCUUGUCGCGUCGAAUGUGAAAACUCGGGGCUCAACUCCGAGCUUGCAUUCGAUACGGGCAGGCUAGAGUUCGGUAGGGGAGACUGGAAUUCCUGGUGUAGCGGUGAAAUGCGCAGAUAUCAGGAGGAACACCGAUUGCGAAGGCAGCUCGCUGGGACGUAACUGACGCUGAGACGCGAAAGCGUGGGGAGCAAACAGG
rnacentral:rRNA from 1 species